CUACCUUCAGGCUGGCAUCGGAUAAAUCUAUUGAGCCGACCUCGUUUGAUGAGCUCCUCAAUCUCAUCUCAAAGCUGAAUACACUCCUCCAUGUCAUGGCCAUGGUCACGAUGAUAGAGGUAGAACCUGUUAGGGUUGCGCUUCUCGAGGUGUGUGCGCAUCUUUUUCGAUCUUGGCAGCUGCUCUCUGAUCUCCAUUAGCACCUGAAUUUUUGGAGCAUUGAGAGGGGCGUAGCUG
rnacentral:lncRNA from 1 species